rnacentral:lncRNA from 1 species
CCUGCUUGCCCUUGGGCAGGUCAUUUGCCUUGAACAGAUUUCUGAAUAAGAAAAUCCCUUUCCCUUUUAUCACGUUUGAGAAGAUCGUGACAGACACGCGUCUGUUUACACGGCCAGGCAGGCCCGUUUUGCUCAUCCCUUGGCAAACUGCCACCCAGUGAUGAAUUUCAGAGGCGUAAGAAUGUGGCUGAAAGCAAGAAUGUGGGCACAGGCUCCCGCUGAGGUCACCACAUGCGAGAUAUUCCAAAAGCAUUGCUCAGUUAUAAGAGAAGACGAUUAAAAAAAGCCGUGCAGGAGAAUGGAAGAAGCUAAAUAUAUCUCAGCCUCUAACAUCAUGUCAAUGAAAAGUAAAAUUUACCAAUUGGAUAACACACGUGUCUUGCACUGACCACUGUCUAUACUUGGAGUUGGUAGUUUUCAUUGAUCGAAUGCUGCCAAGUCCGUGAUAUUUCUAGCUAUUACCUCCAAUUUCUGGAAGGGAAAAGCCAAACAGUGAAUGUCUUAACAGGAGUAAAUGAAAACAGGUGCCAGGAAAACAGAAA